GACGAACGCUGGCGGCGUGCCUAAUACAUGCAAGUCGAACGAGAGCGACCGGUGCUUGCACUGGUCAAUCUAGUGGCGAACGGGUGAGUAACACGUGGGUAACCUGCCCAUCAGAGGGGGAUAACAUCCGGAAACGGAUGCUAAAACCGCAUAGGUCUUCGAGCCGCAUGGCUCGAAGAGGAAAAGAGGCGCAAGCUUCUGCUGAUGGAUGUACCCGCGGUGCAUUAGCUAGUUGGUGAGGUAACGGCUCACCAAGGCCGUGAUGCGUAGCCGACCUGAGAGGGUGAUCGGCCACAUUGGGACUGAGACACGGCCCAAACUCCUACGGGAGGCAGCAGUAGGGAAUCUUCCGCAAUGGACGCAAGUCUGACGGAGCAGCGCCGCGUGAGUGAAGAAGGUUUUCGGAUCGUAAAGCUCUGUUGUUAGAGAAGAACAAGUGCUAGAGUAACUGUUAGCGCCUUGACGGUAUCUAAACAGAAAGCCACGGCUAACUACGUG
rnacentral:rRNA from 1 species